GCCUUCAUGGAUCAACGGUAGAUCGUCUCUGAUCAGUUCAUCGUGCUUAGAGUAGACUUUAUGAGAAAGUGCGGGUUCGAAUCCCGCCGAGGGCA